CGGUGCCUUAGUUGAGGCCGAAAGGCGUAGACGAUGGAUAGCAGGUUAAUAUUCCUGCGCCGGAUAUGUGGACCGAUGGGGGGACGUUGUGUAGAUUGUGAUCGGGCGACCAGAAAUGCCCGUAGGGGAAGACAAGGCUGUGGAUAGGAAAAUCCGCCACAUCAAGCCAAGGCUUUCACUCGAGUCCAUUGAUGACGAAGUCAUGUGACGCAUAACCAAGAAAAGCCUCUAAGGAUUGAAGCAUAUUUGACCGUACUAAAACUGACACAGGUAGGUGAGGCGCGUAGCCUAAGGCGCUCGGGAAAACGCUGGUUAAGGAACUCUGCAAAUUGACCCCGUA
rnacentral:rRNA from 14 species